rnacentral:rRNA from 1 species
GCCGCGGUAAUACGUAGGGUCCAAGCGUUAUCCGGAAUCACUGGGCGUAAAGCGUGCGUAGGCGGGUGUUUAAGUGUAAUGCGAAAUCUUGUGGCUCAACCAUAUAGACUGUAUUGCAUACUGGACGCCUAGAGGAUGGCAGAGGCAAGUGGAAUUACUGGUGUAGCAGUGAAAUGCGUAGAUAUCAGUAGGAACACCAAUGGCGAAGGCAGCUUGCUGGGCCAUUUCUGACGCUAAGGCACGAAAGCGUGGGGAGCGAAC